AAUAAGUGCAGUUUUACACUGUUCAUGUCUAACGUUUGACCGUUCGUCUUAUUUGAAAUUUUUUAUGAUUAAUAUUUUUAUUGUUACUAGAUGAUAAAACAUGAAUAGUACUUUAUGUGUGACUAACUUUUUUAAAUUUUAUCAUAAAUUUUUCAAAUAAGACGAACGGUCAAACGUUAGACACGGAUUCCCAUGACUGUACUUAUU
rfam:Oryza glaberrima chromosome 12 Oglab12_0276_1, whole genome shotgun sequence.